AUGGAGGGGGCCGAGGCUGAGGUCACAGAGAACAGCUGGGAGGCAGUUGCUGGAGUUCCCGCGAGUACUGAUGAGCCUACAGUGGGGCUGUGGGGAUGGAGAGUCAGGGAUGCUGGAACCAGAAAAGGCCAUGGUUGCAGGAGAGAUGUGAGAAAGACACUUGAUAAGCUGUCGGCAGCAGUUUCUCCUAAGGGGUCUGCCAAAAACUGCGUGGGAUUUCAGGGUCUGGCUUACUUCGCCUUCUUCAGGUCUGUUACAUUUCCCAGAAUGGUUCCCAGCGCUGGAGAUAAUUCCUUUUCGGAGAACCUACAUUUCUCACCUGCUGAUUGCAAUUAGCCACUGCCAGCUGGGGCCUGGUGUGCAGCUGAAAAGCUAACAAGAAGUGGAGACCACGCGGAACCCAGACAGGGCAGAGGAUGCGACUGAAUAAGGAAUGGUGCCCAUGUUUAUGAGCCGCUCCUGUGAAUUAAGGUUUCCCGACCUUCUGGAUGGCCCUCCCUCUUCCACCUCUAUGCUCCCCAUCUCUCCUCUAUUUUUUUUUUUUUUGUCUCUGGGUUUGUGGCCCACACUUAACAUCACAGUCACGAAUUUACCACAUUUUGUUAGGCAAUAAACAGCCUUGGAAGAGAAAUGAAAUUCGACUA
rnacentral:lncRNA from 1 species